rnacentral:lncRNA from 1 species
AAAAAGUUAUUAAAAUAGUUAGUAUUUAUUAUUUAUUUACAAAAAAUAUAAAGGUUAUAGAAAAAUAUUAAAUAAUUAAUUUAGUAGGUUUUCACGCCCUACAUUACUAAACCACGCAGUUAAUAUAGGAUCAAUGGCAGGAAUUUAAAUGGCAGAAAAAUAAAUGGCAGAAAAAUAAAAUGGCAGAAAAUAAAUGGCAGAAAAUAAAAUCCUAAUUAUUACAACGCUUUGGUGCAGUUACAUAAUAAAGAUGGCGAAAAGUAAAACUGAAAAUAUUACAAGUUAAAACUUAAAAUAUUACAAGGGCGAAGCAGUUACAGUGUAUGAAUAACAUAAAUAUGAGCGAAAAUAGGAAAUAAUAAUAAGGUUUGUUAAGGUUUAAGAAAAGGUUUAUGGUUGAGAGGAAAUAACACGGUUAAAGUUUUAGGUUUGAAAUUUAGAGUUUGUGGCGAAAUUGUCAGGGUUUAGGAAAAAUCAGGGUAGUUAGUUAUGAAAAAAAAUGUGGAGAUCUAAAAAUAUGAAUUAAAAAAAAA